rnacentral:lncRNA from 1 species
UCUCAUAUUUCAGACCUCAUAAGUAUCUUGCAAUGGUUUGCUCUUCCGGUUCCAUAAGCUCUCCUUUUAACAUCAGAUUAUCGAAUUCUGCAGUGUACUCCUCCACACUAAGAUCUUUUUGCUUGAAAUUAUGAAUUUUAAGAAAGAUCUCUUGCCUAUAAUUGUGAGGUAAAUAUUUUCUUUUCAGCUCCCUUUUCAUUUUUUCCCAUGUCACGAUUUUACUCUU